UGGGGAAUAUUGCACAAUGGGCGCAAGCCUGAUGCAGCCAUGCCGCGUGUAUGAAGAAGGCCUUCGGGUUGUAAAGUACUUUCAGCGGGGAGGAAGGGAGUAAAGUUAAUACCUUUGCUCAUUGACGUUACCCGCAGAAGAAGCACCGGCUAACUCCGUGCCAGCAGCCGCGGUAAUACGGAGGGUGCAAGCGUUAAUCGGAAUUACUGGGCGUAAAGCGCACGCAGGCGGUUUGUUAAGUCAGAUGUGAAAUCCUCGGGCUCAACCUGGGAACUGCAGCUGAUACUGGCAAGCUUGAGUCUCGUAGAGGGGGGUAGAAUUCCAGGUGUAGCGGUGAAAUGCGUAGAGAUCUGGAGGAAUACCGGUGGCGAAGGCGGCCCCCUGGACGAAGACUGACGCUCAGGUGCGAAAGCGUGGGGAGCAAACAGG
rnacentral:rRNA from 1 species